UACGUAGGGUGCGAGCGUUAAUCGGAAUUACUGGGCGUAAAGCGUGCGCAGGCGGUUUUGUAAGACAGAGGUGAAAUCCCCGGGCUUAACCUGGGAACUGCAUUUGUGACUGGCAGGCUAGAGUAUGGCAGAGGGGGGUAGAAUUCCACGUGUAGCAGUGAAAUGCGUAGAGAUGUGGAGGAAUACCGAUGGCGAAGGCAGCCCCCUGGGCCAAUACUGACGCUCAUGCACGAAAGCGUGGGGAG
rnacentral:rRNA from 1 species